UACGUAGGGUGCGAGCGUUGUCCGGAAUUAUUGGGCGUAAAGAGCUUGUAGGCGGUUUGUCGCGUCUGCUGUGAAAAUCCGGGGCUCAACCCCGGACCUUGCAGUGGGUACGGGCAGACUAGAGUGUGGUAGGGGAGACUGGAAUUCCUGGUGUAGCGGUGAAAUGCGCAGAUAUCAGGAGGAACACCGAUGGCGAAGGCGGGUCUCCUGGG
rnacentral:rRNA from 1 species